rnacentral:rRNA from 1 species
GACGAACGCUGGCGGCGUGCUUAGCACAUGCAAGUCGAACGGAAAGGCCCUGCUUUUGUGGGGUGCUCGAGUGGCGAACGGGUGAGUAACACGUGAGUAACCUGCCCUUGACUUUGGGAUAACUUCAGGAAACUGGGGCUACUACCGGAUAGGAGCUCCUGCUGCAUGGUGGGGGCUGGAAAGUUUCGGCGGUUGGGGAUGGACUCGCGGCCUGUCAGCUUGUUGGUGGGGUAGUGGCUUACCAAGGAUUUGACGGGUAGCCGGCCGGAGAGGGUGACCGGCCACAUUGGGACUGAGAUACAGCCCAGACUGCUACGGGAGGCAGCAGUGGAGAAUAUUGCACAAGGGGCGGAAGCCUGAUGCAGCAACGCCGCGUGCGGGAAGACGGCCUUCGGGGUGUAAACCGCUUGCGCCUGUGACGAAGCGUGAGUGACGGUAAUGGGUAAAGAAGCACCGGCUAACUACGUG